UGCAGGAGAAGCAGAACAUUCUGAGCCGACUUUUGAGUGGACAUCUCCGGAUAAAUGCGGCGAUUGGGACACGACCGGCUUUGAACGUUCAGUUUAAUCACCAAAUUAAAUACAAGCUCGUACAGCAGGUGGCAGUAUUGCUCACACACACACCAGGCGUGCUAACAACCUAAUAAUAAUAAUAAUAAUAAUAUUUUAAGCUUGAUUGCGUCUCAUUCAGAGGGAGUUUCUAUCGUGUUUUUCGGUGAUAUUUUGCACGUAAUUUAAAUGACAUUUUGAGAUUUACUUCUGUAGCGUGUUUACUUUUGAACCCUCAGGCACACCUGCUCAAAAACCCAGUUUAGUUAGACCAAAUACAGGCCAAGCUGCUAAACUGGGAGACCAUCAUUACGAGCAGCUUUGGGGGGCCUGCUGCAGCCAUUGCUCUAACCCUGCCUACAGCCUGACAUCAUUACCCCUGUGACUUACGGCUGAGCUGCCCUGACUGAACACUUUUAUUCCCUUCUGUGGUUAGUGCAGCGGACAGAGCCAUUCACAUUUUGUUAGUGUGCUUAUGGCUUUAACGGCUGCUGGCUGAAACUCUGAUCUACAGAUGCCUCAGAGGACCAAGUGACUGCAGCUCAACUCGUUUCUCCUGCCAUGACACUGAAGUGGAGUGAAGGAGGUGAUCAGUGUCAUCCAUCACUAAACCUAAGGAGAGCACCAUGACUGCAAUGAAUUAUGCAGGGGGCAGGGCUGGGAAGUCCCCUUGUUCCUAGUCACACUUCAUAGCCCAAACCCUGAACCCAGGUGAAGUGCUCAUCAGUCCUGCUGUUUCUCUCCAUAUGGAUUCACUGAACAGGGAAGAUUUGAGAUGCCCCCAACCCAUGCCUGGUUUGAUCGACGUCGCCAGGACUGUUUGGAAGACUUCUUGGGGAAAGUAAAGCCUGGAAAAUCGGAAUCCUUUGGCCCUUUCCUGUCAAUACACAAACAGAGGAAUGACACAUUAAAAGAGUUGCUUCGUGAAGAAGAGAGAAAGAAAUGGUGACAUGUAAAAAGCGCCGUGUUAAAGUCGCAGCGUGGAGCUGACUUCCUAUCCCGGAAAGUGGAAAGUGAUGCUGACACCGAGAUUGUGUAGCAACCCAGGAAACUCAACUGCUUUCCCCUACUUUCUGUUUUGUAAAUAUUAACUGCCCGCUCAUUUUUUCCAAGGCUAUUCUUGUUUAGACUCCCCAUCACCAUUUUCUAUUGCUAAAAAAUGCAUCCGUAUAAACCUUGUAUUUAAGUUUGCGAUCACUUGGGUGACCUAUUCUGUUCGAGAUCUGUCACAGAGCUGAAGGGUCGCAUUGUGGAUUUAUGGACGAACAUUUGCAUAAAUUAUGAGCAAAUCCGCGAGCGCGUGUGUGGUCCCCCGUAUUGCAAAUCCACCAAGCGGAAAGGUGGCCCUUGGUGAGCUCUGAAAAAUAAAGCUUGAAUGGCCAUUGCUCAAAAUAGGCUUCCAUUUGGUUUUCGCAUUCACAUAAUUGACUUAUGGAUAUUUUAUACAGUUUUCGCAACGCCACCCUAAAGGCUUUAUUUGCAUUUCUGAAGUACUUUUCAAUUUGUUUUACACGAAUACAAAAGGCUGCCUGGCAUCAUGAAGUUUCGUUUCAAUGAGGGUUUUGUGUUUAUUUUGUAUAGCUGUUUGUGCAUUUGCUUUUGCGCACUAUUACUAAUCCAGCAUAUUAAAUCCUUGGCAACCAA